rnacentral:rRNA from 1 species
GCCGAGGACAAGCUUCUUUGCGAGUGUUGGCGAGACAUUGGACAAGACCCAAAGACGGGCGCUGAGCAAAAGCAUUCAACCUUUUGAACUCGUGUGCACAGCGAGUUUCAUGAGCGUAAGAAGUUUCCACCUUACCAAUUUGUGAGCACGUGCGGGUGGGUCUCCAUUUCCAAGCGGUGGAGGGUGAUCCAACAAGAGUGCAACAAGUUUGCGCCACCCUUGAGAGUGUCAAGGCCCGCCCUCGUGAGCGGCAUCGGCGUGCAAGACAUGGUAUGA